AUGGCAGAGCAGCCCCAGCGCUCGGCGCUCCGCACCUCGGGACGGCCGCCCCGAGCCCUCCGCGCGGGCUGUGGCCCGGCCCCCGGGGCUGAGCGAACCGCCACGCCGCCGCGCCGCGCCCGAGGAGAGCCGGGCCCCGCAGCGGAGCGGAGCGGCGCUGGCGCAGCGGAGUCGGGGCCGCCGCUAUUUAGGGCGGGCGCGGCCGGAGCCGCCACAGCACGGAGAGGAACGGUGGGACCGCAGGAAAUUCCUUUGUCUCUAUUCAGGAUUUUCCCUUGGUUGAAUAAAAGGUUUUCUCCUGUGUGGGAUGUGUGAUCAGCCUGGUGUUCAGAUCCCCUUAGCCAGCCCUACUCUUCCUCUUUCGAGGGAAGCACCACCAGUCAUUGCAGCCGUUCACCGUGUGCGUGACCGGGAGCAUCUCAGUACGUGGAACAUUCUGUGAGCUUCAGCGCCGACACACUGCGUUCUGGUUCCCAAUACAGCAUUUGAAGACUGGAUGUUUGUUGAAGAGAAAGCCAGAAUGGUCUGGAGGAAUAAACAAGAAGAGAGCUCUGCACUGUUCGGAAACAGGUCCUGAUCUACAGAUCUGGCAGAAAUUAGGUUUACAGCAGGAAUCCAGGCAGUAUUCUAUUAUCUCUUGGGUACUCUACCAGUAGAGAUCUUUAUAAAUACCAGAAGUGUGACAUUCAGAUAUUAGAGUGGAAGUGAAAAUACUCUUGAGUAUUACUCUUGAGUAAUACUCUUUGUCCCAAACGUUGGGGCAUAGGUUACAUGCCCAGAUGUUUCUAUUUCAGCCUCUCACUCUCCAGUAUUGAGUUACGCAGCUGCUGUUUCCAACAAGUUGGUUUUUCUUCAGUGUUGGGCUCUAGUAUGAGAAGUUGUAAUUCAGCAAAAAGGUGAGCAUCUUUCUUCAUCAUCCUGGAAAGAUUACAGUGAA
rnacentral:lncRNA from 1 species